AGUGAACGCUGGCGGUAGGCCUAACACAUGCAAGUCGAACGGCAGCACAGUAAGAGCUUGCUCUUACGGGUGGCGAGUGGCGGACGGGUGAGGAAUACAUCGGAAUCUACUUUUUCGUGGGGGAUAACGUAGGGAAACUUACGCUAAUACCGCAUACGACCUACGGGUGAAAGCAGGGGAUCUUCGGACCUUGCGCGAUUGAAUGAGCCGAUGUCGGAUUAGCUAGUUGGCGGGGUAAAGGCCCACCAAGGCGACGAUCCGUAGCUGGUCUGAGAGGAUGAUCAGCCACAUGGGAACGGAGACACGGUCCAGACUCCUACGGGAGGAAGCAGUGGGGAAUAUUGGACAAUGGGCGCAAGCCUGAUCCAGCCAUACCGCGUGGGUGAAGAAGGCCUUCGGGUUGUAAAGCCCUUUUGUUGGGAAAGAAAAGCAGCAGGUUAAUACCCCGCUGUUCUGACGGUACCCAAAGAAUAAGCACCGGCUAACUUCGUG
rnacentral:rRNA from 1 species